rnacentral:tRNA from 1 species
GGUUGUGGCUUAGCGGUAGAGCGCUCGCCUCACAUGUGUGAGACCCGGGUUUGAUCCUCAGCACCA